rnacentral:rRNA from 1 species
UACGGAGGAUGCAAGCGUUAUCCGGAUUUAUUGGGUUUAAAGGGUGCGCAGGUUGUUUGAUAAGUCAGUGGUGAAAGUCUGUCGCUUAACGGUAGGAUUGCCAUUGAUACUGUUAGACUUGAAUAUGGAUGAGGUAGGCGGAAUGUGUAGUGUAGCGGUGAAAUGCAUAGAUAUUACACAGAACACCGAUUGCGAAGGCAGCUUACUAUGCCUUUAUUGACACUGAUGCACGAAAGCGUGGGGAUCAAACA